CCCAAACAUGAUCACUGUAGAGGGAGGACUGACAGGCUGGGCUGUUUGAACAAGCUGGUGCUUGGGUCAUUUCUCUUUAGUCCUGUCUGGUUGGACACUAGUCCACGAUUCGUAGUCUCCUCUCAAAAUACAAUCACCUCCAUCUCCUCCUCUCUUCAAUUCAUUCUUGGAUGUCACCCUCACUUCCUGCUUCACCAAGAAAAAAAAAACUAAGAGAAAGGAACUGACUCAACUUGCAUAGUUCUCCUUUCUCUGCUGCCUCCUCAGGGACUCCCUCCCUCAAUUAUCCCCCAGAUCUCAGCGGGACGCCUUUUCUCCUUCUGACCUCGGACAUCAGACUUCAGGUUCUUCAGCCUUUGGACUCUGGGGCUUGCACCAGCGGCUUCCGUGGGGCUGUCAGGCAUUUGGCCUCAGGCUGGGAGCUGCUCUGCCAGCUUCCCUGCUUCUCAGGUUCCACACUUGGACUGGCUCACUGAGUUUGUGGGGCUUUUCAUGUUCAUAACAUCAUGAUGCUCAUCACAUCAUGAACCCUGAAAUAAUAAACAGUCUUCUCAAGAUCGUUAAACACCUAUUCUGCUGUCAGAUUCUGUAGAUAUUGGAAGUGGCUUUGGGUUCAUAUAACUCUCGGGUGUGACUCCUAGCUCCUCUGUUUAGCAGCUGUUUGGCCUUCUGCAGUUGGCUUCUAUCAUUCCCCAGCUUGCAGAAAUCAUUUAAACCUAUCUGGUGGAGGGAUCUUACCUUUAUGGUCAUGUGAGCCAAUUCUCUUUAAUAAAUUCCCUUUCAAAUAUAUGUUUUCUAUGGAUUCUGUCCCUCUGGAGAAGGAAGCCUGACUAAUACACCUAUGAUAAAGUGUAAUUUAUAAAUGAGGCAUAGUAAGAGUAACAACAAUAAAAAAAAAUAGAACAUUAUAACAAUACACUGUAAUAAAGUUACAUGAAUGUCUCUCUCAGGACAUCUGAUUGCACUAUGCUCACCCUUCUUGUGCUGAUGUGAGAAGAUACAAUGCCUUUGUGGUGAGAUGAAGUGAGACAAAUGAGUUAGAAAUUGUGACAUAGCAUUAUUAAAUAAAAUAAGGGUGACGUGCAUACAAGCACAUCAUAGUUCAUGAUAAGCACUGCCAUAUCAUGACCAUUGAGCUGAUAACUGAGACAGUUGCUAGUUGACUCAGGGGUUGAUGACAUCUACAGUGUGGAUUUGCUGGACAAAGGGAUGAUUCAUACCUUGGGUGGGACAGAGCAGGACUGGGAAAGAUUUUAUCACUCUACUCAGAACAAUGCACAAUUUAAAACUUAUGAAUUGUUGAUUUUGGGAAUUUUCCAUUUAAUAUUUUCAGUCUGUGGUUGACCUUGGGUAAAUAAAACUGGAAAAGAGGAGACAACUGUAUUAGCUGGCAGAGAGAAAAAUGGGACUUGCUUCCCUGAACAGCCCCCAGAAACUUAGUGGAAACCAUAAAAUUUUUAUGUUGCCCAUUCAUAGACACUCACAUGUUGGGUAAGGGUGUGAGGCUUCUGGGGUUUCCACAUUUACAGGAUGGUCCAGGAGCUACCUCUACAGGACAUGGCAAGACAAAGGCAGAAGCAAGUUCCUCAAUCUUGUGCCUUUUCAGACUACCUACCUAGAAAAGAACGUGAACAGACAUUUCUCAAAAGAAGACAGACAAGUGGCCAAGAAACAUAUGAAAAAAUGUUGAACCUCACUAAUCAGCAGAGAAAUGUGACUCAAAACCGCAGUGAGACACCAUCUCAUACCAGUCAGAAUGGCCAUCAUUAAAACAUCAAAAAAUAAUAAAUUUUGGCUAGGUUGCAGAGAAACGGGAACUCUUAUACACUGUUGGUGGGAAUGUAGAUUAGUUUAGUCACUGUGGACACCAGUUUGGAUAUUUCUCAAUUCUCUUGCUGGCUGUAUACCCAAAGGAAAAUAAAUUGUUCUAUCAAAGACACAUGAACACGAAUGUUUAUUGCAGCGCUAUUCACAAUGGCAAAGACAUUGAAUCAAUCUAUGUGCUCAUCAAUGGCAAAUUGGAUUUAAAAAAAAGUGGUACAUAUACAUCAUGGAAUACUAUGCAGCCAUAAAAAAACCCAAAAUGAUGUCCUUUGCAGCAACAUGGUUGCAGCUGGAGGCCAUUAUCCUAAGUGAAUUAAUGCAGAAACAGAAAACCUAAUACUGCAUUUUCUCGCUCAUAAGUAGGAGCUAAACAUUGGGUACACAUGGACAUAAAAAUGGAAAUGGUAGACACUGGGGACUCCAAGGGAGAGGUAGGUGGGAGAAGGGGAAGGGUUGAAAAACUACCUAUUAGGUUUUUUUGUUUGUUGGUUGGUUUCUUGUUUUUUGAGACAGUCUCACUUUGUCUCCCAGGCUGGAGUGCAGUGGUGCAGUCUCGGCUUACUGCAACCUCCACCUCAGGAGUUCCAGUGAUUCUCCUGCCUCAGCCUCCUGAGUAGCUGGGAUUACAGGUGCAUGCCACCAUGCUUGGCUAAUUUUUUGUAUUUUUAGUAGAGACGGGGUUUCACCUGGUUGGCCAGAUUGGUCUUGAGCUCCUGACCUCAAGUGAUCUGCCCGCCUUGGCCUCCCACAGUGCUGGGAUUACAGGAGUGAGCCACCGCGCCUGGCCCUUAUUAGGUAUUAUGUCCACUAUUUGGGUGACGGGAUCAGUAGAAACCCAAAGCUCCGCAUGGGUGCAAUAUACCCUUGUAGGAAACCUGCACAUGUGGCCCUUGAAUCUAAAAUUAAAAAUAGGAAAAGGACUACCGAUCUAAAAACUAGGCUCUUUUACUAACUCCAGGAUAUUUGCUGGUAAACCUUUGUGUGCAGCUCUCUGAAACAGCUCCAGAAUUCUUGACUCUAGGAAGAAAAUGGUACAUAGCAAGUUAAUGUAGUAGAAUACUUACUGCAGUUGAAAUCAGAGGAUCUGGAUUUAUUUCUCUAUUAUUUUCUGCUUUGUGACCAGGGGCAAGUUUAGUCAUCUCUCUUAGACUCAGGUUUUAUCAUUAAAAAAAUGUGAUAAGCUGGUUUUACUUAUGCCAUAAAGUUGUUGUGAGAUUAAAAAUCAAAUAAAAAUGUUUUUCAGCUUUGAAAACAGCCCCGCAGCAUCAUAAUGCAAGCAUUAUUAUUAAAAUCUGGGAAUGACGGUGCUAGGACAUUGGGUAAGAGCCAGGACAUCUGGAUGGUUAUGAGCCUAGAGGAGUCAUUUAACCUUCUGAUACUUCAGGGUUUCCAGUAGCUAAAUAGUGAUAUUAUUAACAUCAUCUGCCUCACAGGGUUUUAGGAUAUUUACUAUCCCAAAUAAAGCUGCCUUGGGACAUUUGACUUUUUUUUCUCAUUGUUGAGGUCUUAGCUAGUGAUAUAAUAAGAAGUGAGGGAUCCACAAAUAAAUUAGGUCAGAAAUUACCUUAUUAUUGUAAAAUACAGGAAUCUGGAUAUUUCUUGCAAUCCUGUUUAUUUUCUCCUCUGGAGCUGGAGAAAGGAGGCAUUUGGCAGAUAUUUCCUUUUGUCUGAAUCUGGCUUUCUCUCCAUUUCAUUUGGCACUUUCUCUACUUACGAAAGCCAUGGGUAAUUAACUUCCAUCUACUAAGUCACUGAGGUCCUCUGCACUACUUCCUCAAGAAUUAAUUUCUAAAAUGAACUGCCAGCUAGGUUUUCCUGCACUUAAGCGGUAAACUCCUGCAAGCUACCUGCCAAGAGAACAUGGUAUAAGGGGGUAUUGCACACACACACACAAUGUGUAUAGCACCAAAAAUGGGCUGGUUAACAUAAAAGGUGGGGUGGCACAGCCAUUUUAGAGCCCAACGCUGGAGCUGGACUUCGUGGAUUUGAACCCCAUCUUCUGAUUGCGUGACUUUGGGCAAGUUACCUGAUUUUCUCGUACAUCUAUUUUCUCUUCUAAAAAAUAGGAAUGAUGAGAGUACCAUUUACAUAAGUUUGUUGUAAAGAUCAAAUCACAUUAUAGACAAAAUGCUUAGAACAGUACCUGGCACAUGGUAAGAUUAUAUGGGGUUUUCCUAUCCUGGCCAUCAGACUAGAGAUCCAUGUUUGGAAACUCAGAUCCCUCCAGGAGCCAGAGAGGUGAUAAUAGCAGAUGUGGGUACUCUGGAAAUUGCAGUAACCAGAGACUGCAGAUCCCAUCCAGAGCAGGCAGUUGAUACUCUGCUCCACUCCAUUAUUACCAAGGUGAGAAUGUGGGCCAACUGUGUCAGAGGAUUCAAUUACUUAAGCUAAGCUAGAGGCUGGCUGCAGUGGCUCACACCUGUAAUCCCAGCACUUUGGGAGGCCAAGGCAGGUGGGUCCCUUGAGCCCAGGAGUUCAAGAUCAGCCUUGGUGUCAGAGCAAGACCCCCUCUCGAAAGAAGAAAGAAGGAAGGAAAGAAAGAAAGAAAGAAAGAAAGAAAGAAAGAAAGAAAGAAAGAAAGAAAGAAAGAAAGAAAGAGGGAAGGAAGGAAGGAAGGAAAGAAAGAAAGAGAGAAAGAGAGAGAGAGAAAGAAAGAGAGAGAGACGAACUAGAAAUUUUAUUUUCACUGUAAUUUCAAAUAUUAAGUAAUUUAAAAACCUUUAACACUGUACUUACACCAAACAAGACAUAGCCAAGGGCUGAAUUCAGCCUACAAGCCUCUGGUUUACAAUAUUUGCAUUAGAAACGCCUAGAGUAGAUGGGCAUCUAUAUAACUCAGCUUUGUAAUUUCAUGUACUGUUUCCCAACCGCUGGGUUCCUAAUCUUGGAAAAAUCUGCUUGAGCCAGGACUGCACCUGCAUCUUGAAUUGAAUAAACUGGUACUGGAAAGAGGAGCAUGAGCACCUGCUGUGUGCCAGCUUGUGCCAACAACUGAAAAAUGUGAUCUUACUACUGUCUCAUAAAGAGGUGCAAGGUGGGCACGCCCAUCCUGGUUUCAUAAAUGAGAUAACCCAGACUCAGAGAGAUUCAGCAACAUGCCCAAGUUUAUGUGGCCACAGUUGACAGAGCAGAGAUUCACAUUCAGAUCUGUCUGACACCAAAGCCCAUGUACUUGACCACUUCAUAAAAUGGCUUGUCAAUUCAGUUAAACAUAUGCAGAUAAUGUUAGCCACUGAUACAAUACAUACAUUCCAAAGUCUUCAUGGCUUAAUCCAGUUGUAGGUUAUUUCUCACUUACCCAACACCCAAAAGUAUGUAUCUGACCAGCAGGCAGCUUCUCGCCAAUCAUUCAGGAACCAUCUUCUAGCUCAGCUCUCUUUUACCGUGGUUGCCAACAGGAGAGUGUGGGGAAGAACAUGGAGUAUAUCACACCAGAGGGAUUUAUGGGUGGGGCUUGGGAGUGGUGCGUGUCACUUCCAAGCACAUGCCACGUCUCUGAGUCCAGACACAGACCACACAGGACAGGGCAAGGGAGGCUGAGAAAUGUCAUCAAGAUAUGACCCAGAAGGAAGAGAAAAC
rnacentral:lncRNA from 1 species